AUCCAAAUCUCCUGAAAAUGGUGGUGUCACUGAAUGAUAUUCGUCUUUAUCUUUCCCAGGGGACUUAUGUCAAACACCAGCAGGCUUCGAAACAUUUCAAGCGGAGUGUUAGGGCCGCUGCUGGGAACUUCUGUCUUCGUGAAGAGGUCCUGUACCAUGGGAACAGAAGGGUCAUUUGGACAGAGGAGGAGAAAGUGGCUGUGUUAACCGAAGCCCAUGCAGGCCAUUUUGGACCACGGAGGAUGCAAGCGAAGAUUGCUCCCCGGUUUUAUUGGCGGUCCAUCACAAAGGACACAUUGGAUUGGAGUUAUGGAGGUUCUUCCAAACAAUAUGGUUAGGCUGGAGACCCUGGAUGGAAAGCCCAAGCAUAUGAUGACCCCGUAUGCAUCACUGAAACCUCUGCGCCCGAGGACUCACCCUGGCUGGCCAAAGGAUUCCCCUUCAGCCCCUGUGCUUCCAGGAGAUGCUGAAAUGCUGACUUCAUCAUCGGAGGAGGAAAUUGAGUGUCAUUGUUUCACGGACCAUACAUAUGCUGGCCCCACAUCACCCUGGAAAAAGGAGCUGCACCCCGACCAGAAACAACUGCUCGAGUAUGUUUUGGCCUGCGAUCGUCCAGCUAUGGAGCUGAUCAUUAAAGAGGGAGGGGUGUGUUUAACCCGAGAAGAGUUUUGGUCUCUCGGGUUGUCCAGAGACAUGGACUCCACGAUUGGAAAUGCUUGCCUCCAGCUGCUUCAGGAAGCUGCUCAGAGACAUGGCAAAGAUGUCUUCAUUGCCAACAUGUAUAUUGUACCAACGUGGAAGCACAAAGACGUCGAUCCAAUGUCAAGCCUUCCAAGGGAUGCACAUCUAAAGGAUGCACUCCUCUUCCCAGCGUGGAGCAAGCACAACGGGCCAGAGCAUUACCUUCUCUGUGUGUUGAGGCCGGCAAAGAGAGAAAUUCUCUUGCUGGACUCUCAGUUUGCCCUUUGGCCAUCUGGUUUUGGUGAUGAGGUGUACAGAGCCAUCUUUAGGUCCCUUUAUAAUAAUCCUGGCCACAGUUCCAUUUUGGCCACUUUUUGUUCCAGCCAUGUUCUGGUUUUGGCUAUGGUUCUGUUCUAGUCAUCUUUCCCUUCCCCGCUAUGCUCAUGUUUUAGACAUGUUCUUCUUUCGGCUAUGUUCCCAUUCUAGCCAUGUUCCAGUGGUGUGCAACAGGGGUCCCCUACCACAGAGUCAUGGACCAGUACUGGUGAAACGUGAUUUUGUUCAUGCUUUGGCAGUGUUCUAAUAGAAUUUUCACUUGUUUAUUUACAAUUUGUCUUCAUGUUUAAAUAUGCCAAGUGGCUUAUUGCAUUUUAUUUUAUUCACAUUUGGCUUUUUUACUGCAGGAGCAUUGCGCAGCACAUCGUCCCAGGAAGCUGGAGUGAGCUCACUGGAAAAGACAUGCAGGAGAUCCCACGCCAGACCUCGGGGAAUGACUGUGGUGUUUUCAUGCUCAUGUACUCCCUCUGGCUCUGUACGGACACUACUUUUCACUACAGUGUG